rnacentral:rRNA from 1 species
UACGUAGGGGGCUAGCGUUGUCCGGAAUUAUUGGGCGUAAAGGGCGCGUAGGCGGCAAGGCAAGUCGGGUGUGAAAGCUUGGGGCUUAACCCCGAAAGGGCACUCGAAACUGCCCUGCUAGAGGGCCGGAGAGGAGAUCGGAAUUCACGGUGUAGCAGUGAAAUGCGUAGAGCUCGUGAGGAAGACCGGUGGCGAAGGCGGAUCUCUGGACGGCCCCUGACGCUGAGGCGCGAAGGCUAGGGGAGCAAACGGG